rnacentral:rRNA from 1 species
GACGAACGCUGGCGGCGUGCUUAACACAUGUAAGUCGAACGGAAAGGCCCUGCUUUUGUGGGGUGCUCGAGUGGCGAACGGGUGAGUAACACGUGAGUAACCUGCCCUUGACUUUGGGAUAACUUCAGGAAACUGGGGCUAAUACCGGAUAGGAGCUCCUGCUGCAUGGUGGGGGUUGGAAAGUUUCGGCGGUUGGGGAUGGACUCGCGGCUUAUCCGCUUGUUGGUGGGGUAGUGGCUUACGAAGGCUUUGACGGGUAGCCGGCCUGAGAGGGUGACCGGCCACAAUGGGACUGAGAGACGGCCCAGACUCCUACGGGAGGCAGCAGUGGGGAAUAUUGCACAAUGGGCGGAAGCCUGAUGCAGCAACGCCGCGUGCGGGAUGACGGCCUUCGGGGUGUAAACCGCUUUCGCCUGUGACGAAGCGUGAGUGACGGUAAUGGGUAAAGAAGCACCGGCUAACUACGUG